AGGAACAUACAUAUAGGUACUGCAAAAUUUUCACUAUGUUUUGAUUAUGGGAGGCCUACUGAAAUCGUCCAUCAAACUGUUUCUUCUGGAUAGUUAGUGAAUCUGAGCAGUAAAUUUGUAAAAAUCUGUAGACAUAGUAAAUGGAGUUCGAUUGAGUUGAAAUUUGGUGGAUACAUUCUAGGAACAUACAGAUAGGUACUGUAAAAUUUUCAUUCUGUUUUGAUUAUGGGAGGCCUAUUAAAAUCGUCCACCAAACUGUUUCUUCUGGAUAGUUAGUGAAUAUGAG
rnacentral:lncRNA from 1 species